GAGGUGCCUGUUGGCAUCCAAGUAGAAGCGUUUAUUGUCAGGUUUUAUAUGCCCAUUAAAUCCAUGGGCAAAAUCUAACCCAGAGUUAGGAAUUGUAACUACAGUAGAGCUAAGCAACCCCAAUAUUCAAGCUAAUGGAAAAUUUCCAGAAGAAGAAACAUUGAUUGAUUAUGCAGGAAACAAAACGGAUGUCCCUGGGUACCCAGGAGAGGAUGGAAUCUACUGACCAAGGAGCAGACUCAGCUCUGCCAAGUAUAGCCUUCUCUGAGUGGUGGGGCAGACCUGCAUGAUUGCUCUGUGAGUCUAACCCUGUGUUACAGGUUUCUGGUCCUUGACAUUUCCUAGGUUCAUGCUGGAGUGAGAGAAAACUAGUGUGGCUGGCCAGGAAUUGAGGGGAGAUGCUUGGGCUGGGAAG
rnacentral:lncRNA from 1 species